AUGAGGAAUAGUUAGUGGCAGACGGGUGAGUAAUGCAUAGGAAUCUACCUAGUAGUAUGGGAUAGCCACUAGAAAUGGUGGGUAAUACUGUAUAAUCCCUGCGGGGGAAAGAUUUAUCGCUAUUAGAUGAGCCUAUGUUAGAUUAGCUAGUUGGUAGGGUAAAGGCCUACCAAGGCGAUGAUCUAUAGCUGGUCUGAGAGGAUGAUCAGCCACACUGGAACUGAGAUACGGUCCAGACUCCUACGGGAGGCAGCAGUGGGGAAUAUUGGACAAUGGGCGCAAGCCUGAUCCAGCUAUGCCGCGUGAGUGAGGAAGGCCUUAGGGUUGUAAAACUCUUUCAGUAGGGAAGAUAAUGACGGUACCUACAGAAGAAGUCCCGGCAAACUCCGUGCCAGCAGCCGCGGUAAUACGGAGGGGGCAAGCGUUGUUCGGAAUUAUUGGGCGUAAAGGGCAUGUAGGCGGUUCGGUAAGUUAAAGGUGAAAUGCCAGGGCUUAAC
rnacentral:rRNA from 1 species